CUGACCGACCCACCGGCCGCAGC
rnacentral:miRNA from 1 species